ACCUUGGGAGGUUAAUACCAGCCUGGAGUGGCCAGUAUUAAUUUUUAAAAUCCUUGUGGGCCCCCACCUUCUGCACUCGAAGUGCCAGAGUGGGGAAACAGCCUUGACACACGGGGACUGUACUCCUUCCAUUUGCUCACCCUUUGUCUGUGUAGUUUGCAAGCUCUUUGGGGCAGGAACUCUUUCCACGUGUGUUGGUACAGCACUUAGGGUGUGUGGGGGGCCAUUCCACACCCCAGUGUAAUGCAAAUAAUAAUGGGAGUCCUUAGACUUCUCUCAAACCCAGACCUACACCUUCCUCUGCCUUUGCCUGCUCUCCCUACCAUUGGUGAGACAGGGCCCUCGGAGCUGGCCCAUCACUUCUCCUGUAAAUAAGCAUUUGCUAAGUGCAUGUCUGGGAGUAGAGUCUUCUCUGCAGGAGAAAAGAGGCUGUAAAAUAAUUAUUGUUCUAUCUAUUUAUAGGAGCACCCCAUUGCCAUGGGAUCCAAGCAUUUCCAGCUACCCUCUGGUUUAACUUGGUUAAUAUUUUCCAGCGUUAAUCCUCUCACAGAUCACAGCUGAGUUGAGUCUCUGCCCUGAGAGCAGCUCUCUGCUAAUAUUCCCACCUCCUGCUGACGUUGGCUCUGGUUCAGACCCCUCUGGAGCAUGGCAUGGAGACAGUGGAGCUCUGGGGAAGGCUGGACCAGCAGGGACAAAAGGAGAAAGAGGAAGCCCCGGAACACUUGGGACUACAGGAGCAAAGAACUGCAGAGAGCUUUUGAGCAAAGGGCACAUCAUGAGCGGCUGGUACGCCAUCUACCCCGUGACUGUAACGCCACGACUGUGUGACAUGGACACGGAUGGCAGAGGAUGGAUUGUGAGUACAAAUCAAGAGUAAAACAGCAUGGCCAAGCACCCUGCAGCAGACCAGGCUACUACUCCUGCUCUAAAUUGGGAUUGGGUUUGAUA